rnacentral:rRNA from 1 species
GACGAACGCUGGCGGCGUGCUUAAAACAUGCAAGUUGCAUGGGAAGGCCCUGCAGUUGUGGGGGGCUCGAGUGGCGAACGGGUGAGUAACACGUGAGUUAUCUGUCCAUGAAUUUGGGAUAACUUUAGGAAACUGGGGCUAAUACCGGCUAGGAGCUCCUGCUGUAUGGUGGGGGGUGGAAAGAUUCGGUGGGUGGGGAGGGACUCGCGGCUUACACGCUUGCUGGUGGGGUAGUGGUGUACCAAGGAUUUGACGGGUAGCCGGCCUGAGAGGUUGACCGGCCACAUUGGUACUGAGAUACGGCCCAGUCUCCUACGGGGGGCAGCAGUGGGGAAUAUUGCACAAUGGGCGGAAGCCUGAUGCAGCAACGCCGCGUGCGGGAUGACGGCCUUCGGGUUGUAAACCGCUUGCGCCUGUGACGAAGCGUGAGUGACGGUAAUGGGUAAAGAAGCACCGGCUAACUACGUG